GAUUUCCGGCCCGCAUAACACAUGCAAGUCGAGCGAGGGCUCAUUUCCCGCAAGGGAGAUGGGUUCCUAGCGGCGAACGGGUGAGUAACACGUGGGCAACCUUUCCUAUCGCGGGGGAUAACAGCGGGAAACCGCUGCUAAUACCGCAUGUCGUCACCGGUCGCAUGGCCGGUGAAGAAAGCAGCAAUGCACGAUGGGGUGGGCCCGCGGCCUAUCAGCUAGUCGGUGGGGUAACGGCCUACCGAGGCGAUGACGGGUAGCUGGUCUGAGAGGACGACCAGCCACACGGGGACUGAGACACGGCCCCGACUCCUACGGGAGGCAGCAGUGAGGAAUCUUCCGCAAUGGGCGAAAGCCUGACGGAGCGACGCCGCGUGUGGGAUGAAGUCCUUCGGGAUGUAAACCACUGUUGGAGGGGAAGACAACCGACGGUACCCUCCGAGAAAGC
rnacentral:rRNA from 1 species